GUAAAAUAACUACUGAAAAUCAGGCUUUGCCACUUUUUUCUUGGGGUAUUUAAUAUAUUUAUUUUCCAACCGAGAUGAAUGGGUCUUUUGCAUAGACCGUGUCCUUACUGUGUCCACCUUACUACAGAAGCAUGAUACAAUGACGAUAGGGAGUUAGAUAGGAAGAUACUUUUCAAGGAUUAUAAACAAUAUUUGUCACGAUUUUUCAGAUCUCUCUAAUGAGGAAAUUUUUUGGUUG
rnacentral:lncRNA from 1 species